CACCAAGGAUCUCUCUCCAGGAGGAGAGGACUUCUCCAGAGGUGCUCAAUGACUUGUUGAGGAACAAUGCAUGAUCUACAUUCAUCAAGCUCAGAACAUUGGCACAGAUACAUUAGCACUGGAAGAAGAGCUCUGAGAUUCCAAACUUCGUGAGAAUGGGAGACAUCUUCUUCAUGGACCACCUGAAGAGCAGCCAAGAUGGAAAUUUCCAUGGGUGAGGAAAAGAAGAACAUCAAGGAACAUCCUUGGCUGCAGGGGAAUGUUCUCGACAAUGUUCUCGAUGACUAAUGAACCUUCUCCAGAAGCUCAGUUCAGCUCUAGAAAUUUCAGCUUCCUUCUCACACACUACUAUGAAGGGACAUACUACUUCCUGGUAUGUAUCAAUAACUAUAAAUAUAUAUAAUACCUCAUGUCUCCAAA